GUUCACGAGACCGAGUCCUGCGCGCGAGCGCGUGCUCGUGGAUCAGGAAAUAUGGCGGCGCUCACGCCUCUCAGUCAGUUAUCAAGUGGAAACCCUGCGUAUGAGAGCUUCUACAGACAGGUGGAUCCGGGAAACACUGGGAAAGUUGGCGCUGCAGAAGCCGCUCUGUUCUUGAAGAAAUCCGGGCUUUCAGACAGCAGUUUGUGUCAGAUUAGGGAUCUCAGUGACAUUGACAAAGAUUGACACUUGGAUAAAGAAGAGUUUUCAGUGGCCAUGCACCUGGUUUAUGCAGCGAGAGAGAAGGAGUCUGUGCCAUCCACCCUCCCAUCCGCUCUCAUCCCUCCAUCCAAGCACAAGAAGAUCGCAGGCGCUCUUCCGGCAUCCGUUCCCAUUCUUCCCUCAACCCCGUUCCUGCUAAAUAAGAACCUGAGGCCCACGCCGGUCCUUUCCAAGAGUCCUCUGGGUAGCAGCACAAAUCUGUCUCCAUCACGUCAGCCUCAAACACACACACAGUCACUGGCGGACACGCAGUGUACGGGGAAACUCACCAAAGAGCAGUUCUGUCUGGCGAUGCACCUGAUUCAGGAGAAGGUGAAAGGAGUGGAUCCUCCUCGGAGUCUGAGCCCUCAGAUGAUACCACCAUCAGAGAGAAAAGCCGUCAGCACUCGGGACAGCAGGAGUAUUGUUGGGUUGGUUGAGCUGACGGGAAUCAAGGACCAAGAUGACAUCAACCAGGAAAUCUCCCAGCUGCAGAGUGAGAAAUGCAUAUUGGAGACCGAAAUCAGGCAGAAAGAAGAAGCCCUGCGACAGAGGAAUAGCGAAGUGCAGGAGGAUUCAUUGGUUAAGUCCAGGAUGGCUGUGUUUAACAGUAGCGGCUCUCAAGGCCUAAACAUAGACCCCUUCCAGAGCGAAGACCCCUUCAAUAAAGGCCGGUCCCUUCAGCAGAAGAGUCAGCCAGACAUCGAUGAGUCCCAAACCUAAAGAGUCAGACCCGUUUGCUGCGUCAGACGCAUUUCGGCAGCGACUCUUUUGGAGGGAAAAGUGGUUUCGCUGAUUUCUCUCAAAUGUCAAAGAAGUGAGACGCAGCAGCUGGAGUGGACGAAGCAUGAGAGUCAGAGAGAGGAGGCGGAGCUAAUCCAGAGGCUCCGCCUACAAGAGCAGCAGGAACUGGCUCUGACUCUCAGUCGAGCUGAAAAGCCAAGAACGUGAUGCUUCAAUCCAUCAGCGAGACUCACCUAAGCUUUUCCCCCAAUCACACGCUCUCCCUGAAGAUCUCUCUCUCUCUCAGGUUUGCUGUCGCGAUCACUGAACCAAUGAAGUACAACAAAACCAAAGGUCAAAGUUACAGAGUCACUGCACGAAACGCUCAACCACACUAUUAUGCUUUAAAACGUUAUAUACAGCUUCACCAAAUACUGUAGCUGAAGAUCUUAAGUGAGAUCUUAAAUCAUUUUUAAUGCACAGAAGUCUCAUAAUAAAUAUCAACCCAUUUCUAUGGCCAGUGUCGGUUUUGCAAAGUGUCUUAGUUUGACUACGAUCAACUUCAAAUCUCAACCAGACGUUUGGUUUAAUAAGAGGGCUGAGUAACUAAAUGCAUGUCAUUUUCCACCGUUGGUCCACUUUAUGAUUAUAUAUGAUGUCUGUUUUUAUAUAUAUAUAUAAACCUGCAUUAUCAAUGCAUUACGUGAUAGUGAUGAACAAAUCCUGAAUCUCAUUUUCCCUCCUGAUACGCUUUCAUUAGAUGCAUGAAGAUCAAAUGAAGCAUAUUCUUUAGUUUCUGUAGGAGCCUGAGUUUUGCACUGUUCGUUUGAGAGUGAGAUGAUGUAGCAAUGACUCUGUAUUUUGUGUUUAACCCUUUAAAACUUGAUCAGAUCCUUUAGAUGAACCCAGAUCACACCAACCAGCUCUGCCCAUUUCAUCUGUUUUUAACCCUUUCUUGAAGCACAUUUUGCCUUGACGUGAAGCCUUAUACUUUAUAUUGAACUUGUUCUUAUUAUGUAUCGAUAUAUAUAUUGCAUCUGUGAUAAUUAACACUAAAAUCCGCAGGUUAUGGGUUGUUUUUAUGCUAGAGAAGUAAACUCUGGUGAGUGUGUAUGGGUUUCUCUUUUAUGUGUUUUGGUGGAAAAAUGAUUUUACAAUGUGCUGCUUUUCCACUUUUUAAUAAAUGUCAAACAUAUUUAU